rnacentral:tRNA from 1 species
UCCAUGGUGGCUUAGUGAUAAAGCAUCUGCCUGCAAUGCAGGAGACCUGGGUUUGAUCCCUGGGUCAGGAA